rnacentral:miRNA from 1 species
AUAUAUAUAUAUAUAUAUAUGUGUGUGUGUGUGUGUGUGUGUGUGUGUGUGUAUAUUAUACACACACAUAUACAUAUACACAUAU